GUACUAAAAACUAAGCUGUAUUGGGUUAGCCAAAAAGAUCAUUUGGGUUUUUCUGAUGAUGUUAUGGAAAACUCGAAUGAACUCUUUGGCUGACUCAGUAUUAUGUUUAGCAUCAGAGAG
rnacentral:precursor_RNA from 8 species